CCUACGGGGGGCUGCAGUGGGGAAUAUUGGGCAAUGGGCGCAAGCCUGACCCAGCAACGCCGCGUGAAGGAAGAAGGCUUUCGGGUUGUAAACUUCUUUUCUCAGGGACGAAGCAAGUGACGGUACCUGAGGAAUAAGCCACGGCUAACUACGUGCCAGCAGCCGCGGGAAUACGUAGGUGGCAAGCGUUAUCCGGAUUUACUGGGUGUAAAGGGCGUGUAGGCGGGAAAGCAAGUCAGAUGUGAAAACCAUGGGCUCAACCUGUGGCCUGCAUUUGAAACUGUUUUUCUUGAGUACUGGAGAGGCAGACGGAAGUCCUAGUGUAGCGGUGAAAUGCGUAGAUAUUAGGAGGAACACCAGUGGCGAAGGCGGUCUGCUGGACAGCAACUGACGCUGAGGCGCGAAAGCGUGGGGAGCAAACAGGAUUAGAUACCCUGGUAGUC
rnacentral:rRNA from 1 species